UACGGAGGGAGCUAGCGUUGUUCGGAAUUACUGGGCGUAAAGCGCACGUAGGCGGCUUUGUAAGUUAGAGGUGAAAGCCCGGGGCUCAACUCCGGAACUGCCUUUAAGACUGCAUCGCUUGAAUCCGGGAGAGGUGAGUGGAAUUCCGAGUGUAGAGGUGAAAUUCGUAGAUAUUCGGGAAGAACACCAGUGGCGAAGGCGGCUCACUGGACCGGUAUUGACGCUGAGGUGCGAAAGCGUGGGGAGCAAACAGG
rnacentral:rRNA from 1 species